AGGAUGUUAGCUCAGUUGGUUUAGAGUGUCGCCUUGACAGGGCGAAGGUCAUCGGUUCGAAUCCGUUACAUCCUAC
rnacentral:tRNA from 1 species